rnacentral:rRNA from 1 species
GAUGAACGCUGGCGGCGUGCCUAAUACAUGCAAGUCGAGCGAACGGACGAGAAGCUUGCUUCUCUGAUGUUAGCGGCGGACGGGUGAGUAACACGUGGAUAACCUACCUAUAAGACUGGGAUAACUUCGGGAAACCGGAGCUAAUACCGGAUAAUAUUGUGAACCGCAUGGUUCAAAAGUGAAAGACGGUCUUGCUGUCACUUAUAGAUGGAUCCGAGCUGCAUUAGCUAGUUGGUAAGGUAACGGCCUACCAAGGCAACGAUGCAUAGCCGACCUGAGAGGGUGAUCGGCCACACUGGAACUGAGACACGGUCCAGACUCCUACGGGAGGCAGCAGUAGGGAAUCUUCCGCAAUGGGCGAAAGACUGACGGAGCCACGCCGCGUGAGUGAUGAAGGUCUUCGGAUCGUAAAACUCUGUUAUUAGGGAAGAACAUAUGUGUAAGUAACUGUGCACAUCUUGACGUUACCUACUCAGAAAGCCACGGCUAACUACGUG